rnacentral:rRNA from 1 species
UACGGGGGGAGCAAGCGUUGUUCGGAUUUACUGGGCGUAAAGGGCGCGUAGGCGGUCAGCACAAGUCAGUUGUGAAAUCUCCGAGCUUAACUCGGAAAGGUCAACUGAAACUGUGCGACUAGAGUGCGGAAGGGGCAACUGGAAUUCUUGGUGUAGCGGUGAAAUGCGUAGAUAUUGGGAGGAACACCAGUGGCGAAGGCGGCUCACUGGACCGGAACUGACGCUGAGGCGCGAAAGCGUGGGGAGCAAACGGG